GCUUGUGCACUGGUGGAUGCGGAGUAAUUCCUCGCCGGAGGUACACUAGGGCGGCGGCUGAGUGGUCGAUGCGGUGGAGUGGAAAUAAGGUUGCGGCGGAGUGGAAAUAAGGUUUCAGCCCGUUUCCACCUCAUCGGCUUGUAUAUUCAGGAUGUAAGUGGCAGCGGCGUUUCGCGAUCCCACAUACGCCGCCCGCGAAAUUCGGCCCAAAUGGAUGCUCAUGGAAGAUGGAACAACUGGUACAGAUAGGAUACUUCCCACAAAUGGAAGCAAACAUUUGUAACCAUAUAGGUGCAUUUCCCUUUAUUUUAAUAAGAUGUUUGGAAGGCUCCUGUUCAUCUGCUGAUGCUGCUCCCUGGUUGCACUUCAAGAUGUAGAUUCAUGUCAAGUUGAUCUCAGCUGCUAAAAGGGUGGUAUAUUCAUCUCAACCCCAGUGUCUUCGUGCCAGAUUGAUGCAUCUUUUGGGAAUUAUGGCACAUCCUAAUUUUCUGUUGCUGUUACUUCACACAUUUGAAGAAGAACUCUGAAAUGCUCACAGUUUGUUGUUUCUAGAGGUUAUCUCUACUGGAUGCUCUUUUUGUUUUGCCUGCAGCAAUGCAAUGUAUCGAUAUGCCUGCCUCACAGAUUGUGCUUAAGUUGUUGGACAAGAUUAUGUGUACUUGUUCUAUUUUUUCUUUGUUAAAGAAGGGUCCGAAAUAAUCUGUCGUAUCUUUUAUCAGUUCA